UGUUGGAGAUCCCUGUGUGCAUGAGGCCUUCUAAAGCAUUACAGUGGGGGUGAUUGGAGUUAACAGGAGCCCAUGACCAGCUGAGUAUGGAAUGCUCCUCUGGUGCAGAAGAUCACAUCAUCACUUUAUCAUUGCUCCAGAAGGACCGGGCAACGGAGCAUAAUUUAUCACUACAGCUCAAAGAUCUGCCAUGGCAGAGCCUGCUGCCUUGUGCCAAGCCAACCUGCCUGGUGUAACCUUUUGGGGGCAAGGAGGGUUGGCUGGGGAGCGAAGGCUACAGAAGCAACAAGCUAAGGAGAGCAGACAGAUCUCUGGCGGACCCAAGACCUUCUGGCUAGACACAGAACUGGAGAUGCUCAUGUGAAAAAAAGCCAUAUAGAAAUGAUACACAAGUGAUAAAAGCUCUGAGUUCUCAAAAGAGUUACAGACAAGUCAUGUGCAAGACCCCAGCCCCAUCAUCUCCCACCUGAGUGACAAAGUGCUCAGCACAGCAACUGCACCGUGCCCUUGGGAAAGCCGACUGUGAAGCCCAUCCAUGAAAGCACUAAAGACAUUUGGUGCUUUUUCUGAAUUCCGGUUGUGCGGCGUUAUCAUAAUGAUUCCAUUUCACACCCAGGACAGAUCUGAGUCAGACCUGUUUGAUUCCACUGGAAGAGCUGAUGGAAGCUUUAACACUUUGAGGAGAGUUCAAGACGAUUUUACAGCAGCGCGCCUUGGGGAAAUUGAAAUGUCAAGCAUAAUUUGGCACUUGAAACAUGAAGGAGAAAGGCUUUUCAUUUGUUUUCAUCUGCAUCUUCCCCUCCUCUGAACUGUACAUGCUUCAUUUCCCUCUCUUCCCUUAGCUUUCAUUAGGCAGUGCUGAAAAUCUGCUGGAUUUGAGAAAUCUCCAAGGAUAAACAAGUAUCUGGUGUUAACCUGCUCUGCAAAAGUCAAUUUGACAUGUCUCACUAUUCUUCCCUUCUUGUUAGGCAAACUAGACCAAAACAAGCUUUUCCCCUGUUAUCUAUGUUUUCCCAUGCAUUCAUUUGAUUUUUCUUGUAAGUCUAGGGGAUUAUCGCUCACUAGUCUAAUUCUUAACACUAUGGGUUCCCUUGAAAAAAAGAAAAUAGGCUUUUGAUCUGGGUUUCAAUCUCAGCCCUGGAUCUGAGGUGAAUCCCAGGUCUGCCUUCAGCCAAGGGCUCAGAGCGACUGCAGUCCCCAGCACAGUGUGGGGCAGCCAGGACUAGGAAUCUGCAGCUCUGCUCUCCCACUAAAAUAGAAGUGUUCUCACAGCUGUCAGCACCAAAACGAGCUGGCAAACAGGCCUCUGCUAGGUGCAGCUCCUGGGAAUGCUGAUAAUGUGUUCUUGGGAGAUAAAUUUUUAAUUCCCCCAUCAUCUGAGCAAUUUCUGGUGAGACAGAGCCCAGAUCCCCCCCGUACUCUGAAUUCUUCCCACAGGAGCUUUCCACGAGGCAAUGCCUAUUUGCUAUACGUGGAAGCUCGUGUGGCAACUUAGCAAUUUUGA